rnacentral:rRNA from 1 species
AGAGUUUGAUCAUGGCUCAGAAUGAACGUUGGCGGCGUGGAUUAGGCAUGCAAGUCGAGCGAAUCCCCGCAAGGGGGGAAGCGGCGAAAGGGGCAGUAAGGCGUGGGUAACCUACCCCGGGGACUGGUAUAGCCCUUCGAGAGAAGGGGUAAUCCCGGGCGACGUGUCGAGGGGGCAUCCCCUUGCCACCAAAUGAGUUUCGCCCCGGGAGGGGCCCACGUGAUAUUAGCUAGUUGGUAGGGUAACGGCCUACCAAGGCGAAGAUGUCUAGCGGGUGUGAGAGCACGACCCGCGCCACUGGCACUGAGACACUGGCCAGACACCUACGGGUGGCUGCAGUCGAGGAUCUUCGGCAAUGGGCGCAAGCCUGACCGAGCGACGCCGCGUGGGCGAUGAAGGCCUUCGGGUUGUAAAGCCCUGUCGAGGGGGAGAAAGUGGAAACUUGAUCUAUCCCUGGAGGAAGCACGGGCUAAGUUCGUGCCAGCCGCCGCGGUAAUAC